GUAGCGAGGCCACAAGGCCUUGGAUCAGAACAGCAACGUCAGGGAAAACAAAAUCCAAGGGGCUGCCCAGUCCAAGGGCAAACUGGGAGUCUAGUCCCCAUCUUGUAACCACGAUCUCUACCUUGCGAUGCUGCAGGGGCACCUCUUCUGCCUUUCACCUAGGCUCCUGGCAAAGGCCUUGCAAAGCAUUAUUCAGGGCACUGUGUGAGGCCAGAGAAGGAACUGAGGAAGACCACACCCAUACACAGAGAUGAAGAGUGUGGAGUGACAGGAAGGCGGGGCUUGAGCUGGUGGCAAAACGGGAAAAGUUCCCUUAUCCCCGUGGCAGGGCUUGCGAUGGAGGUGUGGCUGGCUUCUUCUGUGCCCCGCUGCUCAAACCUGUAGGGGGAGCAUGCAGAUGGGCAGGUGGUGGGGCUCCAACCCCACAGCAAUGUCUAAGGGUGAAUGUUUACAGCUCCUGAGGUCCCAAUGGGCCUGUGUUACAGGAUGCUGUUUCAGUUGAGCCAUCCCUAGUCAGCUGUUAGACCUCCUGCCUUAUUCCAAGGACAGAGGCUUUCUGUAUCCUGAGGUUUCUUGCCUCCGUGCACCAAAAGAAUCAGAUCACACAUGGGCUUGGAGAAUGAGUGCAAGGUUUUAUUGAGUGGAAGUAGCUCUCAGAUGGGGGAGCCAGAAGGGAGACGGAGUGGGGAGGUGGUUUUCCCCUCUGAAGUCGGACCGCUCCGUGGCCAGGCUGUCCUCCAGCUGCACUGAGUGGUUCUGCCUGUCGAUGGCCUGCCAGCCUGCCGUGGGCCACUAUCAGUCUGCUCUUACACCGGUGUGUUCCUCUUGACGUCCAGAGGCUUGUGUGCGUGCCUGCUAAGCUCUCAGGUUUUUUUACAGGCACAGAAUGAGGGUGUGGUAGGCCAGGGUAGUCUUGGGAAAUCCAACAUUUAAGCACGAAAACAGAAAUGCCUGUCCUCACCUAGGUCUGUGGGCACAGGCCCGGGGGUGGAGCCCUAGCCAGGGACCACACCCUUCCCUUCCCAGCACUUCCCCGCCCCCCUUCCGUAUCAGUAGCUUGAGGGAGUUACUUCUCAGGGAGAUGUUUUGGUUUUUAGGGAGAAGACAAAACCUCCAAUUUGAAAAACAAAGCGAGUCCUUUGGUGAGGGAAACACUGGACACACAGAGGGCGGGCUGGAAGGGCAGGUGCUGGGAAGACAGCAAGGAGUGCAGACCCACUGGGGAGGCAGUGCCAAGCCUGGCUGGGGCG
rnacentral:lncRNA from 10 species